UGCAGUUGGGAAGCCCUCAAGGUGAGCUGUCAGGUCCUAUGACUUGUCAAUUACAGACCCAGGGGAAGAGAAGGACCUUGCACAUGGCCACUCCUAUCCCAGCAAGAAGGAAGGCCUUUCUCCUCCCCUGGCAACAGCCCAGCCAAUGAGAGACUGCAACAAUGCAGCCAAUGAAAAGCCACUAUACUUUGAACUCCCAGUUUCCACCAAUGGACUUUCUGUUUAUAACAGCCGAGCUUCCCCUUUCCUCUGUAAAGGAACAUUCCUCUCGUUGAAGGGAGUUACCUAUAGUUUGUCGGGAGAGUGUGUGCUGUGGCUUGCGAUUCUCUGCUAUCCCCCAAUAAAUCCAUUUUUGCUGUUAAAAUAGCUGGCAGUUUUGUUUUGUAAGGUUAACUUACUUGGUGAUCAGAAGUGGGGUGCGAAGAGAUCCCCAGCAACUCGGAGGCUGGUGAACAAACCCGACAGCACCCACAGAGCCAAUUGGGCUCACUGCUUUCUCGCUGACCCUAGAGUUUGCGGUCCUAAAUCCAACAACCGGUGUCCUUAUAAGAGGCAGAAGAGGAGAAGACGCAAACUAUAGAGAAGGCCAUGGCCACGUGAAAACAGAGAUAAAAGAAGCCACAAGCCAAGGAAUGUCUAAAGCCAUCAGAAGCUGGAAGGGGCAAUUCUGCAGGAGAAUGCUGGUCACCGUGAUUCAGGGAACCCCCUCCAACUGUGUCUCCUGUUGGCUACUCUGAAUGCCUGGCUCAUGUGGGGUCUUUCCACUUCCUUCAGCCCUAGAUAUGACCCCAACCAGGAUUCCCAGUGUAACCAGAGCAUGGGACACCAUGUUGUGGUAUGACCUCUGUGAGAUGGCCACAGAAUCUGAAGGUUUUUCACUUGCAUAAAGUCCAGACCCCUUCUUGCCCUGUAAGAAUCUGCCCAGGUGGGAAGACCUCCUUGUUCUCAUAACCCUUUGGUCUCUAGUCUGGCUUCAGAAUCUACUCUUCAUCAUUCUGCUGUCCUGCUUCUCACAAAUGAGCAAAUAUGGCACUGACUUGCAUUAAAACACCGCUGUUGCUGGUACAUAGUGAAUUUUCUGU